UCAAAGGUUAAUGGGCCUAGGUUGUGUUGGGGGGUGUAGUAAGAACGCAUGGAGGGUGACAAAAGGGAAAGGGGUUGUUUGUGCCAAAGGCACAAGUAUUACCAGAAACACCCAAGAACCUGGUUUUACAUAACCCCCAGAAUGCACCUUCGACGUUCAACCAAAGCGGUGAACCCUUAAGUCAAACGCGGAGAGAACCCCACCUCCGCCGCCGGAAAAUCGACCUCUGUAUUCACGUGGGCAAAAUCGACUCAACAUCCACAUAAGAAAUCACGAGAAUCCUCCCCUACUCAUUGUUGAUGUUACUCGAUUGCGUUGAUGAAGAGCCUGGAAUCGCGGUCGGUUAGAGGAGAGAUUCGCCGUGAAAAGGUUUAGGUGAAGAGCGUAUGGAGGGAAGCCUCGAAUCGAAUCUAAAAAUGGUUUUUAUUACUCCUUCUCAAAUUCCGUUUUUCGCUAUAUGGUUCUCACAAAAUUUCUCUGUGCAGUUAUGUGCUUUUGUCAAUUAUUUCCCUAGUAAGUGAAGUAACUCAUGGCGUGACGAAUCAACGCGUCGAUUCGGUGUUCCGGUAUGAAAAAUCCAGGUUCAGAUAUUCUUCCUUUUCUUCUCGUUUUCUCUUCUGCCGUUUUGUGUUCCUCUUCUCCGUUUCGGUCUCUUUCUGGUUGCGAUUUUUGAGUCCUCUGGUAGAGUAGGAAUGGAGGUUUUUGUUGGAGGUUAGGAUGGUUGAGAGAUUCUUGGUUAUUGAGGAGAGUGAAAGGUUGUUAUGAUAGGAGGUUUUGGUUCGAUUGAAGGGUUCUGCAAGGUUUGUGCGGAGAGGGUUGAAGAGUCUUUUUCGAGUGAAGUUGAAGAAGUGAAGGUGAAGAAGGUUGGAUGCUGAGUCAUGCUGUUAGGAUCGGAUGCCAUAUGUGCACUUAGACAUGUUAUAAAAUCAUAGAGUUGCUAUGCUUUGAGUGUUACUCAUGGAACUGGUGUGGUGAACCAUAUGCCCUGUGGAACAUGCUAAUUGAAUAUUGAAUUGUAUUGAUUGUUAUGCUGAGAUUGGGUAUAGUUGUAAAUGUAUUAAAAAUGGUUGUAAUUUUGUUGUAGUGAAUUGGUUUGAAAAAAUGUAAUUUGAAUUGGUAUUUGGAUCUAAAUGCAUCAUGGUUUUGAAAUUGUAAUUGCAAAUGGAUUUGAA